rnacentral:lncRNA from 1 species
ACAUCUUUGUCAAAUGAAAAGCUCUUCGUGGUGUUCCAAGGUGUUUCAAAUGUAGCUGGUGAAACAAGUUCAGACUCUGGAGUUAGCUAUUUAGCCUCCUACAACGCCUUCCUUGCUGCCACCAAGUUCAUUAAUUCAAUUCCUACGCCACGACUUGCUUGUGAGUGAUGAGAUGAUGAAUGUCCUCGAUCGUGAGUCUUGUGAGUCUUUUGAGUUGUAUGAUAAAAAAGGAUGCCCUACUGUACUAGAAUAAAUUAUAUGUUAUAAAUGGCCUCCUAAUUUAAAUAAACUGGGGUGUAUAUCAUCCACAUGUACGUUCCUUUUUUGAUGAAAUAUAUGGGCGUACUUAUGCUUGCAGUUUUUGUAAUGCUAGAUCUAAUUAUAUGUUUCAAAUGGAUGUGCAAAAUAGUUAGUGUUUGUGCAGAAGCACGUACCCUGCUAAGAAACAGCAAAGGGAUAUAUAAAAGAAAUGACUCAGAAAAUAGAUUUUCAUAUAUAAAUUGAAAAAAUACAAUUUUCUCCAUUUAAUUUUCUUAAUAGUUGUUUCAUACCAUCACCCUCUCUCUAUAAAUUGAAAAAAUACAAUUUUCUCCAUUUAAUUUUCUUAAUAGUUGUUUCAUACCAUCACCCUCUCUCUCUCUCUCUCUCUCUCUCUAUAUAUAUACCCUACAUCCUUGGAAAGUUAAAAUAUUUAAACUAUAUAUAUAUACCCUACAUCCUUGGAAAGUUGGAAUAAAAAAACAAUCAACCACAAAAUAUUCAUCCUCUUAAAUGAGGAAGGACCUCUUGGAUUAUGAGGGAUAACCUUGUUUGGAGAAAUAUUUAUAAUGAUUGUAUUUGCACAUCAUUUUUUAGGCCUAAUUUGAAUACCUUUCUAACCUCACCUAGUUAUAAUGAGAUGACCUCCUAUCUAACCUCACCUAGUUAUAGUGAGAUGACCUCCUAUUGGACCGGGUCUAUAAAAUCUAAAUAUAAAAUUUGAGCACAAUCCAAUAGUUUGAUCGAAGUUUAUGGAUUUGUUUUGUUGAGAUCAGUUAUUUGAUGCUAUCAUGCCUCUUCUUAGGCUUAACUCUAUCUCACCAAUCCAUUAAAAUCAAUUUACUAAGCUUUUUAUGUGAUUUAGUUAGGAUUAAUUUGCAACUAAUCGUUCAAAACCUUCAGAUUCUCUAAACCUACCUACAAUAGUAUGUUAAAGAGUUAAUAUAAAACCAUUGUAGAUGAUAACUCAACAACUUAAGUUUUUGUAUUGAAAUGGUUUUUUUAACAAAAAUGAUAAAAUGGACAAACUAAGUGUUUACAACCCAUAACAUAUAUGGAGAUUUCUUAAGCACUUAUUAUUAAAUUGAUAGUAUUCUUGUUAGUGACUCAUAUUAAAUCUUUUUUAUUGAAUGAUAUUCUUGUAAUUAAUAUAGGUGGGAUAUGUAGCCUAACACCUUUUUCACUUAGAAGUCAUUUUUUUUAUCAAGUGGCGUGGACUAUAGAAUCCUUGCUAGACCAUUGAGUGUUUUUGAGACUUUGAUACCAUAUUUAAUUUGACAGUAGAAUUUAAGUGUUAUUCAAUAGACUUAAGCUUAGUUCGUGGUGGUCUUUUCUUAAUCUUUUAUAUUAUUUUAUUUUCUUAUAAUCACAUGAUGUGGGAUAAUCUCUAGUCAUAUAUUAUCUAUGAAUUCAUCUUGUAUGAGAGAGGAAAGAACAAUGUUAUGUAUGUUGAAUAAUUUUUUAAAACCUUUUCUUAUAUAGUGACAUAUAUCUCAGUGUUCAAAAGUAAAAACUUGUAAUUUAUGCCAUGAGUUUUGCAAUAGAGAAGUAAUUUUAACAAAAAUAAUAGAAAACAAUAAUAAUAUUUUCUUGUCCAUGGUGAACUCUAGAAACUCCUUGCUCCGAAAGCCAUAAAUAGCUUUAAUCACAUAUUUAACUAAUCCUGGCUAGAUAUGCUUCCUGGUGGUGCGCUUUACUCAAACAGACUAAAUUGUGUCCAUUUGGGCCAUAGCCUAAAUGGGUGAAAUAAAAUAAAAAAAACAAUCCAUUUAAGUUAUGGUCUAAAUGAAUUGAAAUAAAAAAAAAACAAGAAGAAAAAACCAGUUCGUUUGGACAAUAACCUAAACAGAUCAAAACAAAAACAUUUGCAUAAAUCAUUUAAUACUCCACUUUCACCCAUGCAAAAAGACUUCUUUCUAUCUUUAUGUACACAUACAUUUAGAGAAGGAAAUAGAAAUGGAAAUAUUCAUUACAAUGCUAAUAUGGCAUGAGAGAAGAGAGAUGAAAGAUAAAUGGAAGGAUAAAAAAAAGGAAUGAAUGGAUCACAUAGGACACACUUUUAUUUUCAACACCGUCAACACCAUUAGAAAGAGCUUGAUGAGAUGAUUCCUGAAACACCUUGGAAGAAUAUAUUUGCUUUCUAGGUUUCCAACACCACUAGCAUCUAAAGGAGACAACACUACCUACUCUCCUAGUGAGUUCAUUGCACGAAUAAGAAGGAGAAAAAUAAAAAUAAAAAUUGACUAUUUGGGCUUCAAUUCAAAUAACCAAAUGUUUUCUAACCCAAAUAGCUAGCACUUACCAUCUCUCUUCUCUUCACUCUUAUUUUUUCUCUCACACAUUCUCUCUCCUCCUUCCUCUCGUAUAUCUUCUGCAUCUCUCUUUUUUUCACCACAUUGAUUGUCCAUUACGCAUAUAUCUAAAUAUUUUUUCAAUCUCUAAGGAGUCAAAAUGUAGAACUAAUGCACACAACAUUUUCUUAUGAUGGUUGACACCAUCUUUUCUAGCCAAUGAUCGACAUUGCAAAUACAAAUCACUUUCCAUGUAAAUUAGUCAACUAUUUCUUCAUUAUAUCCAACGUAUCACUCACAUUCACCCACUUCUUCACCAAUAAAGUGCAAGGUACUACAACCAAUGAUGGAAACUAAUGUUUUCACCAAUUAUGAAACUCUUCACAUCUUAUAAUGAGCGUGACCAAGGUGUAUAAAUACCUUGAAAUACCAGGUUAACCCAAUAGGUUGUAAGCUUCUUUGACUAAACAUUUCAAACUUGGAAUACCAAGUAAACCCAAUAGGUUAUAAGCUUCUUAGACUAAACACUUCAAACACAAUAUAUUUUUCUCUCCAUUGUUUCAUACAUUAUUUUCUUCUCAUAUCCCUAUUGACUUAAGUAUCAAAGAGUCUCCCAUUCUACAAGGAGCUUAUAUUUUUAGGAUAACCAAGUCCAUACACCAAGCUCAUAUUCAAAUCCAUAUGUCUUCGCCUAGGAUCAUAGCUUGUAGAAAACCUAUUUUUUAUGAAAGUUUCUUCACGAGUUCACUAGGGGUAUAAUUUGUGGGAAAUUGAACUAAAAACUAGAUUAACACCUUUCAUAAAAAUAUUUUCCAUGCUAAUGAAAUUUUAAGAUAAAAGAGAGUAACUAAUUUCACCACUAAGUGGGAAAAUCUCAACAAGCUCAGGAUAUUGAGAAUACAUAUAAAAUAUGAGAAGCAUCAUAGAGCUUGUCAUAUAAGAUAGUGAUGCAAUGUGUAAAGUUUUUCAAACAACACAAUGUGGAUCUACUCGUGUAUGGUAUCAUAGAGUUACCAAAAAUAAUACCAUUGAGAUCUUCUCUAUCACACAUAGAGAAGAUGAGAGCACUAUGACCUAUCUCCAAAGGUUCAAAGAGAAAAUGUUCAACGUGGAAAGACUCGUUAAACCUAUUUCCAGAGAAGCUUUGAUUAAUAGGCUUUAUAACUUUGAUUAAAUAGUGAAUGAAAAAUUCUAUUAGGAUGGAAAAAGUCAACGUAACUAGUAUCCUCAACAUCACUAGUCUCUAACUAGAUUAUCUAAAAUGAGCACCAAAUGACACAUUUAUGAUCGUUUGACAUUCUCUAAGCUCUUGACUACCUCUCUAACCACCACACAGACUGAGAUGUCAACUAUUAAUGGAGGGAAAUAAUUUAUGAAAUAUCCUUAUCCCAUUAAAAAUGGUGCAAACACGAGGAACACUAAUAAGUUUUACCUUUUUUUUUAUCAUGAUCAUGGGCAUGACACUAAAGAAUGUCAUGCCUUGAAAAAGAAAGAAAAAUUGAUCAUCAAAGGUUAUUUUCACCAGUUCAUGAAAAAGGAAACAAAACCUGAGAAUAAAAGGACAAAAGUCUACACAUGAUUUACCUUAGAUUAAAUAAUCCUCGAAUUAGCUCUAGGAAUUAUAUUUCCAUAUUUUCAAAUCUUUAAUAAAAACAAUGAUUUUCUUCAUAUCUCCAAUGUCUCUAAUAAAAACCUACAUUAAAAUAUCUAAAUAUAUCUCUAUGAAAAUCUUUACAGCGAGAUCUUUAGUCUCCAUACAUGUCUCUAUGAAAAAUCUCUAUGCCAAGUCUUUAUAUCUUUAAAUAUGUCUUAAUUAAAUCUCCUUAUAUGUCUCGAAUGUCUCCAAAAUAAUUAAGGAUCUUUAUUCAGGUCUCCACGAUUACUUAUCUCUAAAAGGAUCAAAGAUCCUUCUCAAAAGAAUAUUAUCAGAAAUUUACAUGAAGAAAGCUUUCAUGCAGACACUUCAUAAGACACAAAUAGGGAAACGUUCAAAUGUCUAGCAUGGUAACAUUCUCUUAUCCACAUCAGGUAAAAUUUAUAUCUUAAGUAUUUUUUUCCUCCACUUCUGCUAGUUAAGUCUUUUAAACAUGUCCAUUUGAAAGACUUAAUGAUGUAUAUGAUGGUGCACAUUAAAAAAUAUAUAUGUUUGGGCUAUGACACAAACAAGCUGACAUAAAAAAAAUUCCAUUUGGGCCAUGUCCCAAAUAGACUAAAAUAAAAACAAUUGCAUAAAACAUUUCACCUCCUACUUUCACCCCUGUAAAAACACAUUUCCCUACCUUUAUAUACACAUGCAUGAAAAGAAGGAAAUGGGGCUGAAAUAUUCAUUAUAAUAUUGAUAUGUCAUGAGAGAAGAGAGAGGAGAGAAAAAUAAAAAAGAGAAAAAAGAAUGAAAGAAUGAGCAACCAAGGACAUGUCGGAACUUCUUGGAAAUAACUUGAUGAUAUGAUUUUAAAAACACCUUAAAAGACCAUAUUUUGCUGUCUGAGUGGUUAUACACACAACCUAAAAGCGACAACACUAUCCAUUAUCUUAACGUUUAUAAUGUAUGAACCAAGGAGAAAAUAAUAAAUAUAAAAGUCAGAUGUUUGGGCAAACCCAUAUGGUUAGCAUUCAUCCUGUAACGCCCUGAAUUUCCACAAUAUUGAAGGAUACUUUGAGUAUUGAACAUCAAAGAAACAUAAGGUCAAAUAUUUUUUCAUUCCUUUAACAUCAAUAAAUCUUAUUGACUUUUUAUCCACCUAAUUAUAUUCUUAUCAUAUUAUUUAACUCAUCUCUAGUCUUUAUCUCAAUCAUACAAUUAUGAUUUAUGUCUCUUAAUUUCUAUCAUAAUUUCAGUAAAGUCUCCUCUAUUCGAGUCCCUAAAAUAAUUAUUCUCCUCAUAUAUAACACUUGUUUAUCAACCAAUGGAUAUAUAAAUCUAACAAUGUCUUUUAGUCCUUUUAUUGUAAUACAAUUUAAUCAUAAAAUUUGUCUAUUACAACCACUUUACUACAAUAUCCCAUGUGAGCACUAGCCAUGUGUAACCUAUCCAUCAACCUGUAGGAAUGCAUAUAGACCCAUGUAAAACAUAAUUUUUUUUAUUAACUCUUUUAUUUUAUGAAUUAAUAAAAAUUAUGACUUAAAUGUCUAAGCAUUGGCCAUAUUGUAAUACAAUUUAAUCAUAAAAUAUGUCUAUUACAACCAUUUUAGUAUAAUAGCUCGUUUGAGCAUUGACCAUGUGGUUAGCCCAUCUAUUCAACAUGUAGGAGUACAUAGAGACCCUUGUAAAACAUAAUAUUUAUAUAAACUCUUUUAUUUUAUGAAUCAAUGAAAUUCAUAUCUUAAACCUCACAAGUAAAAUGAGUUAAUUACCAAUAUCAUAGACUAUACAUCACAUGUGGUAACCUAUAUACCUAUCAGCAUAAUUAUGUUUUUUUUGUUUUUCAUUUUAAGCCUUAGCAAGCAUUUCAUUCUUUAUAACUCUUACUCAAGGUCUCAUAUAUUGUAUAUUCGUUAUCUUAUAUAGUAAGAUAAACACAUAACUUGUUUGGAGGCAUCAUCAUAUAUAGGAAGCCACAUAAAAGAAAUUUUCUUUAAACCCCCACCUCACCAAUUUAUCUUUUGCUUACUUAAUUUCACAGCACUAUUCUUUAUAGAGAGGGUUAUUUAGUAUUUUUUUUUGUAGAAAGAAGAAGAAAAAGAAUAAGAGGGGGAGGGAAUUCUCAUUUAUAACUUAUUUAUAUUUGCCGAUUGAAUAAAUUGCAUUGGAUUUUACAACAAGUUUGUAAAAUUUCAAAGGACUUUGGUCUAUAUUUAAAAAUAUUUUUUUUUUGGGAAGAAAAAUUAUUCAUUUUUAAUAUAAGGAUAAAAAACCCUAAAAGGAAUUCAUAUCCAAAAUAUUAUUAGGAGUAAUAAUUAUUAUUUAUUUUAAUAUAAGGAUAAAAAAUAUAAAAGGUGUUAAUAUCCAAAAUAUUAUUAUGGAUAAUAAUUUUAUUACUCACAUUAAUAUAAGGAUAAAAAAAAACUUGUAUGAAGUUAAUAUCCAAAAUAUUAUUGUGAAUAAUAUAACUCAUUCACUUCUAAUAUAAGGAUCAAAUCUAGAAAGAAUUUUAUCUGAAAUAUUAUUUGCAUUGACGCAACGAGUAAAAAGAUUAUGACAUGAACCAAAAGAAAUUAUGAGGUUUAAAAUCAUGUGAACAUGAAAGGAUUAAAUUAAAAAGCAAUAAGUGAUUGAAAUAAAUAAUUACUAAAAUAAAAGAAAAAAGGUUGAAUCACGUGCACCUUAACAUGCACAGUGCACCUCUAUCUACAUUAAUACUAAAAAUAUAAAAAAAGAGAGUAAAAACCAUUCAUGGUGAUGGUGAGGGAGGAGGCAAUGGUAUGAUGGUGAUAGUAGAGAAGAAGGAGGUUGUAAUUGAAUUGAAUGAUAUUAAAAGUAAAUUAUUAUUAGAAAAAUAUUUUACAUAAUAUCAUGAAUUGAAUAUAUUUUAAAAAAAUUAAAUUAAGUUUAAAAAUUAACUGUAAAAUAUUUUUUAUUAACCUAUAAAAUAUUUUAUAAAAACAAACAUAAAUAAAGAUUUUUUUUAUUUUUUUUUCUAAAAUUAAACACAGAAAAACUCGGAAAUUUCUUUACCGUAAAAUAUUCUACAUAAGGCCUUAAUAUAAUAAUAAUUUCUAAAAUUAAGUAACAUUUUUUUAAAAUUUUACUGACCGAAAAAAACCUAGGAUGAUGGAGGAGGUAUAAGGUGGAAUUUUCUUCCUUAUUAUAUGUGGGCUCUUGUUGAUGUGCCAAAGAAAAGAAUAUCUUCGUGAUAUUCCCUUCCAAAAAACCAAAUAUGGGACUCCAUAGUUUGGAAAUGCUGUCCAAUAUUUUUAAAAUUUUUAAUUUUUUUUUAUUUAAAAUCAAUAUGUUUUAGUAUUUUUAAAUUAUUUUAAGGUUCUGAUAUCAAAAAUAAUUUUUAAAAAUAAAAAAAUAUUAUUUUAAUAUAUUUUUAAAUAAAAAAUAUUUUAAAAAUCAAUCGUACCUCUACUUCCAAACACACAAAAAAAAAACUAUCAUUAUCCAUCCAGCUGUUCUCACCAAUCAUUUGCUGCGCCAUGUUUCCGCACUUUAUACAUUACUGUUGGUAUGAGUAAUAGAAAAUGGUAAACCACGAAUUUUCUUGGUUUUAUUGGAGUGUUCCACUCCUAUGCCAUCAAUUAAUUAGUAUUAGGCUUUAGUAUACCCUCACAAGUUGAUUAUAGGUAGGAGCACACAACCAACUUUGUUAGAAAAAAAGGAAAAAUAGACGGAGCUCAAUAGUUUGAUAAGAAAAUCCAUUAUCUAAUCAUCAAUGGCAAUAAACUGAAAAUGUAAUUCUCAUUUCAUAACUAAAACAAUUUCAAUAGGUUUCAUGCAUGAAUGAAAAAAAUCAGAUAAGUCGUUAGAUAAGUUGCUCCAAAACUGUAACACUAUAAGAUAAAAGAAAAAUACGAUAGAUAACCAAGUUUAGAAGCAUUAGCAAUAACCUUAUAUUCAACCUUUAUAGAAGAUUGAUAAACCAUUUUCUACUUACUAGACUUUUAAGAGAUAAGGUUAUAUGCAAAAUAGAUAACAUAAUCAUCUAUAAACUUUUCAUCAUCAAUAUUACUACGAAUAAUAGUAACUAAAUCCAUGUAAUUAAAUAUCAUAAGAGGCAAUAAAAGAUAUGCCAAAUUGAGAUGUACUACGAAUAUAAUAUAAGAUACGUUUAACAACAAGUCAAUGAUCCUCUAACGAGAGGUGCAUAAACUGACAAACCUUAUUAACAGUAUAUAUUGUAAAAGUAACAUGUUGAAGAAAUUCAACCACACGAUGAUAUAAAGUAUGAUAAAAAAAAAGGCAGAACUAUUAUUAGAGAUGUUGGAAAGACAAGAACCAAUAAUUAUCGGUGUGGAAACUAGUUGACAUUCGUACAUGAAAGCUUUGUGCACAAUGUCAAAGGCAUAUCAAAACUAAGAGAAGAAUAACCAAUGAGAAGUAUAUUGUAUCUCAAUACCAAGAACAUAACUCAAAUGACCCAAGUCUCAAAUAAAGAGUUUUGUGUUAUGGUAAACAAUCAACUGAGUCAUGAAAGAAAGUUCAUUUCAUGUGAAAAUGAUAUCGUCAACAUAAACUGAAAUAUAUAUGUAAAUAGUCUAUUAUCUAUAUAUAAAAAGUGAAGUUUACUAUUAAUGUCAGACUUUAAAAACUUGAUCCCUGAUAAGAUAUAAGUAACCAUGAUAAUAAUAAAACAAAUUAUUAUUUAAAACAAUUUAUCAUAUAGAAAGCAGGUAUUUUAUAAUAGUUGGAAAAUACAAAAUGAAAGACAAUUUUAUGAAACGUUGAGUUGUAUGAAUUGAAAAAUGUGUAAGAUAUUUAGUUUCUUGCCAUCACCUAUUUUGAAUUGUUCAAAGCCAAUAUAGGGUUCCAUGUAAAUGUGUCCAGUAAUGUAUGGCAUGAUAUGAUGUGUUGCUCUGGUAUUAAAAUGUCAUAAUUGGUUAUAAUUCAAAGGGAAGUGACUAGUUGAAGCAUGUUGGCCAAAGAUGGAGAAUCUAAAAUUAAAGAGGUAAAAAAGUUUCCUUUAGGAAGUGAACUAGCACCUAAAAAAUAAAAGGAACAUAAGAGGGUAGUAUGAUUAUAGUUACUAUAAAUUUAGCACUAGAUUUUGGGUGUUUUGUCGUGGUUAAUUCCACCCUGAUUCAUUUUCUCGUCUAAAAUUUCUUCUAUUUUAGUGAUCUCUCUAAUUUCAAUCACACAUCAUAUUGAAAACAUCAUUCCAACCAGAGAAGAAAUAAGAGUUAAAAUUGUUACAUUUGUCAAUAAAAGUUGAUUAUGUAUCAAUGUUAGUCAAAUGGACAUUCAUGUCAUCAACAAGUGUGGAUCUAAUAGAAAGCAUACAAAAUUCAUAAUUGUGUAAGAAUUUAUUAUUCAAGAGUAAACUAUGGAGUUCUGAGAAGGUAACAAGUUUGAAUCAAGCUAUGAAAGUGUUACUAAGUCUUUGAACUCUGGUCGUAGGCUUUUGAACAUAUACAAAUUAAAAUUUAAAAAUGGGUAGCAUAUCAAAUAUUGCCAAUUCAUCAUUUUAUGUUUUCUCAUUAUGUGUAUAAGUCAAACCGAUUCUCUAUGGAGUUGUCAUAGUUCAAAAAAGCUUAAAUAAAAUAAUAUAAUUUGGGUUAUUGAUAGUCAUGCCGAGGCUAAUUCUAGUACUGUUCAAAUAGAGUAAGAAAUCGACAAUAAAUGACAUUAGAUAGUACAUCAUUUUUUUAUAAAAAAGAUACAAUUAAAAUGCUAGUGGAUCCUAUUUAACUUGUGUAGGUAAUUUGAGUUUGUUAUGGUAAUGGAUGUGUUUUCUAUAAUAAGAGGGCUAGUAGACAUGAUUUUAAUCCAACAAUGAAGCUAUACAAGAAUUUUUUAAUAAAAAAAACUCUUGGUUUUAACCUUUCAAAGCAAGUACUUUUUAUUUGUUAGUUUUAGAAAUAUUAAUUAAUUACUAUAGAUUAAUUAAUACAUCAAAAUGACAUACCUCCCACAUCUUACAUGGAUCACAGGCCCAUUUUGUCAUCUUGCACGGUGUAGCGAGUCAUUUCAAAGAGGCAGUACAGGGAUUGGUAAUGUCCUAUCCCAUCAUUUUUUUACUUUUUCAUUUUACGGUUCUAAAAGGUUUGUCUGGCAUCGAUUAAAUGACUUCCGACAAAUUAUAUCAUGCAUUUCCCGACAAACAAAUUCAUGCGUGAUUUUUUUAUUACUUAUCCGGAGAGAUUUCAACAUCACAAAAUGAAAGCUUUUGAACUUGAAGCACAUCUUCAGUGCAAGGCUCGUAUCUCAAAUAAUUAAAUUUGGAUCUUAGGUCCUUGUCAAAUUAUAUAUAUAUGAUCUGCCGACAAAAAAAUAACGUAAAAAAUAGUUUUACUUUGGAAAAAUAUGAUUAUUAAAACAAUAAUUUUUCUUAAUUAUAUAAACUGAAUAACUUAAUUACAAUUCAGUUUAGUUCCAAUAAUCACACUCAUAAAAAGUUAAGAAAUAAUUAAAAUCUUUAUACAAUUUUAUAUUCAAGUUUCAAGUGUCAUUGUCAUAAUUAUUCAUAUAUAUAAAUGACCCAUCAAAACAUAACAUAAAUCAAAGAGGAAGAAACCGCAUGAAUUGUUACUUAUCAAGACAGUAUGAGUACUCUGAGGAGGUUUAUUCUAACAUGAGAGAACUUUACUUUUUUAUAUUCAAUGCAACUUUUCCAACGGAUAGCAUAAUUGUUACUUAAUUUUUUUUUUAAAAGAUAAUCAAUGAACCUGCCUGUAGUUAAUAGAGAUAUAUAUUUCAUGCUCUAUCCAAAUUUGUCAAUUUAUCAAGACAGUAUAAAAAAAGGAUCACAUUUAUUUUAUAUGCUCUUGCGAAGAAUAUGUGUGUCUAAUUAUUGUUAAAUAAUAUUUAUGUAGUCUUAUUUAUUAAGGGUAGAAUAGUACUUUCAGUUUAACCUAUAUAUACUUUAUUUGUAUUUAGGUUAAGUCUAAGCACUCAUAAUAUACAGAUUAUUCAGAAUUCUAGCCUCCUUUUUGUGUUUGAUCUUAAUUAUUUUAACAUGGUAUCAAAGCUGGUUUUAUGGGACGAGGCUUAAUCCCGAACACAACUUCGCAGAGCGCCGAAAAUUUUUUGGAGUGAGAUUUUGUCUUCCGCUUCUGCAAAAUUUGGUAUUUCGUCAGUUUCUGCAAUUAUUUUGGUAUUUCGACUUCCCUUCAGCUUUUGCAAUUUGGUAUCUGCGUUCAGUUUCUGCAAAUUUUUUUUGUGUUUUGGAGUAAUCAUAUAAUUUUGAGAAGAUAUUUGUUUAGUUUCUGCAAUCUUUGUUCAAUUUCUGCAAUUUGGUAUUUUGUUUUCCGCUGCUUUUGCAUUUUGGUUCUCUGUGAUUGUUGAUUAUGGCUACUGAAAGAGAUGAUUCGCUUCAAUUUGUGCGUGUGAGGUUGGAUGGGAAGAACUAUUCAUAUUGGAGCUAUGUAAUGCGAAAUUUUCUUAAGGGUAAGAAGAUGUGGGGGUAUGUUAGUGGAACUUAUAUGAUACCUAACAAUAUUAAGGAGGGGGAUGUUGUUUUGAUAGAUACAUGGGAAGCAAAUAAUGCAAAGAUCAUUACUUGGAUCAACAAUUCUGUUGAGAAUUCGAUAGGUACGCAGUUGGCGAAGUAUGAGACAACAAAAGAGGUUUGGGAUCAUCUGCAAAGGUUAUUCACGCAAUCAAAUUUUGCAAAACAGUAUCAAUUAGAGAAUGACAUACGAGCUCUACAUCAAAAGAAUAUGAGUAUUCAAGAGUUUUAUUCUGCUAUGACAGAUCUUUGGGAUCAAUUGGCUCUUACAGAAUCGGCAGAAUUAAAGGCAUGUGGUGCCUAUAUUGAGCGUAGAGAGCAUCAACGAUUGGUACAGUUUUUAACAGCACUUCGCAGUGACUUCGAAGGACUUAGAGGUUCAAUUCUGCAUCGUUCUCCACUGCCUUCUGUUGACUCUGUUGUCAGUGAGUUAUUGACUGAAGAAAUACGUCUUCAGUCUUAUUCUGAAAAGGGAAUUCUUUCUGCUUCAAAUCCUUCUGUACUAGCAGUACCUUCUAAGCCAUUCUCUAAUCAUCAGAACAAGCCUUACACAAGGGUUGGCUUCAAAGAGUGCAGUUUCUGUAAGCAGAAAGGUCAUUGGAAGGCUCAGUAUCCUAAGUUGAAACACCAAAAUCAAGCUUGGAAGUCUGGCAGUCAGUUACAAUCUAAUGUUCAUAGACCACCUCAGGGUUAUAAACCACCACACCAUAAUACUGCAGCAGUAGCUUCCCCAGGCUCUAUUACUGAUCCCAAUACUUUGGCUGAGCAAUUUUAGAAGUUUCUCUCCUUGCAGCCACAAGCAAUGUCCGUUUCUUCUUCCAUAGGUCAGUUGCCUCAUAAUUCCUCAGGUAUGUCACACUCUGAAUGGGUCUUGGAUUCUGGUGCUUCCCAUCAUAUGUCUCCAGAUUCCUCAUCUUUUACCUCUGUGUCCCCUUUGUCCUCCAUUCCUGUUAUGACUGCUGAUGGCACUCCUAUGCCCUUAGCAGGUGUUGGUUCUAUUGUCACACCUCACUUGUCUCUCCCUAAUGUUUAUCUUAUUCUAAAACUCAAAUUGAAUCUUGUGUUUGUUGGUUAAAUAUGUGAUUCUGGUGAUUAUUUAGUCAUGUUUUCUGGUUCUUUUUGUUGUGUACAGGAUCUGCAGUCUCAUAAGCUGAUUGGGACAGGCCGUAAGGAGAUAUAUACAGCUUUUCGAGCUCUUAUCAAAACUCAACAUUUUACUGUGAUCAAAUGCUUUAGGUGUGAUUUAGGUGGGGAAUACACCUCUAAUAAAUUUUGCCAAUUGCUUGCCUUAGAUGGAACCAUCCACCAAACUUCAUGUACAGAUACUCCUGAGCAAAAUGGUGUUGCUGCAAGAAAACAUAGGCACAUUGUCGAAACUGCUCGUUCUCUCUUGUUGUCUGCUUUUGUUCCUAGUGAGUUUUGGGGAGAAACUGUUCUUACUGCUGUAAGUUUGAUUAAUACAAUUUCAUCUUCUCAUAGUUCGGGUCUAUCUCCUUUUGAAAAGUUAUAUGGGUAUGUCCCUGAUUAUUCCUCAUUUAGAGUCUUUGGUUGUACUUGUUUUGUUCUUCGUCCUCAUGUAGAACGCAGUAAGUUAUCCUCUCGAUCUGCUAUUUGUGUCUUUCUGGGUUAUGGUGAAGGUAAAAAGGGGUAUUGUUGUUUUGAUCCAAUAACUCAGAAACUUUAUGUGUCUCGUCAUGUUGUCUUCCUUGAGCAUAUACCUUUCUUUUCUAUUCCAUCCACUACUCAUAACCCAACUAAAUCUGAUAUUAUUCGUAUAAAUCCCUUUUCUGAGGAUUCUGGUAAUGAUACCUCUCCCCAUGUUCAAUCAAUUUCUACUCAUAACUCUGCAGGUACUGGUACUUUACUCUCUGGCACACCUGAAGCUCCAUUCUCAUCUACAGCCCCUCAAACUUCAUCUGAGAUUGUGGAUCCACCUCCACGUCAGUCCAUCCGCAUUCGUAAGUCCACAAAACUACCAGAUUUUGUUUAUUCUUGUUAUUCUUCAUCAUUUACUUCCUUUUUAGCUUCUAUUCAUUGUCUCUUUUAGCCCUCUUCCUAUAAAGAGGCAAUUCUUGAUCCGCUUUGGCAGCAAGCUAUGGAUGAGGAACUUUCUGCUUUGCAUAAGACAGAUACUUGGGAUCUAGUUUCUCUACCUCCUAGUAAGAGUGUUGUUGGUUGUCAUUGGGUGUAUAAGAUCAAGACUAAUUCUGAUGGGUCUAUUGAGCGAUACAAAGCUAGGCUGGUUGCAAAAGGAUACUCUCAACAGUAUGGUAUGGACUAUGAGGAGACAUUUUCCCUAGUUGCAAAAAUGACUAUUAUUCGUACUCUUAUUGUCGUAGCUUCGAUUCGUUAGUGGCAUAUUUCUCAGCUUGAUGUUAAAAAUGCCUUCUUCAAUAAAGAUCUUCAAGAAGAAUUUUAUAUGGCACCCCCUCCUGGUAUUUCACAUGAUUCUGGAUAUGUCUGUAAGCUUAAGAAAACAUUAUAUGGUCUCAAACAAGCAUCCCGUGCUUGGUUUGAGAAAUUCUCUAUUGUGAUCUCAUCUCUUGGCUUUGUUUAUAGCAGUCAUGAUUCUGCUCUUUUUAUUAAGUGCACUGAUGCAGGUCGUAUCAUUCUGUCUAUAUAUGUUGAUGACAUGAUUAUUACUGGUGAUGACAUUGAUGGUAUUUCAGUUUUGAAGACAGAGUUGGCUAGACGAUUUGAAAUGAAGGAUUUGGGUUAUCUUCGAUAUUUCCUGGGUAUUGAGGUAGCAUACUCACUUAGAGGUUACCUUUCUUCUCAGUCGAAAUAUGCUGCAGAUAUUCUUGAGCGAGCUAGACUUACUGAUAACAAGACUAUAGAUACUCUUAUUGAGGUUAACGCAAGGUACUCUUCUUCUAAUGGUUUACCUUUAAUAGAUCCUACUUUAUACCGUACCAUUGUUGGGAGUUUGGUAUAUCUCACCAUUACUCGUCUAGAUAUUGCAUAUGUUAUUCAUGUUGUUAGUCAGUUUGUUGCUUCUCCUACUAUUGUUCACUAGGCAGCUGUUCUUUGUAUUUUGAGAUAUCUUCGGGGUACAGUUUUUCAGAGUCUUUUACUUUCAUCUACCUCUUCCUUGGAGUUGCGUGCAUACUCUGAUACUGAUCAUGGUAGUGAUCCCACAGAUCGCAAGUCUGUUACCGGGUUCUGUAUCUUUUUAGGUGAUUCUCUUAUUUCUUGGAAAAGCAAGAAACAAUCUAUUGUUUCUCAAUCAUCCACCGAAGCAGAAUAUCGUGCCAUGGCAUCUACUACCAAAGAGAUUGUUUGGUUACGUUGGUUACUUGCUGAUAUGGGAGUUUCCUUUUCUCAUCCUACUCCUAUGUAUUGUGACAACCAAAGUUCUAUUUAGAUUGCUCACAACUCGGUUUUUCAUGAGCGAACUAAGCACAUUGAGAUCGAUUGUCAUCUUACUCGUCAUCAUCUCAAGCAUGGCACCAUUGCUUUGCCUUUUGUUCCUUCUUCCUUGCAGAUUGCAGAUUUCUUUACCAAGGCGCAUUCCAUCUCUCGUUUUCGUUUUCUGGUUGGCAAACUCUCGAUGCUUGUAGCUGCCGCAUCGUGAGUUUGAGGGGAGAUGUUAAAUAAUAUUUAUGUAGUCUUAUUUAUUAAGGGUAGAAUAGUACUUUCAGUUUAACCUAUAUAUACUUUAUUUGUAUUUAGGUUAAGUCUAAGCACUCAUAAUAUACAUAUUAUUCAGAAUUCUAGCCUCCUUUUUGUGUUUAAUCUUAAUUAUUUUAACAAUUAUUACACGUCUAACUAUCUAAUUCAUAUACUAAUAAUGUUAUUUUAAAAUAGAAAAAAUACCGAUAACAUUCUAGAUACACAAAUUUUUUUUUCUAAAUUUGUAAUGAUAUCGUAUUUGAUUAUCAUAUAAUAACAAAUAAAAAACAUCUUAACAAGCAUAUUAACUAAGCAAACUUAAUUAUAAUUAAGAUUUGCUCUCUAGAGGUCACUAAUUCAAGUCUCACAAACCUUAUAGUCAUUAUUGAAGGCUACAUGGUCGUUAACUUCAGGACCCAUAAGAUUAGUCGAGGUACACGCAAGCUGACCCAGACAGCCACGUUAAUAAAAAAAAAACAAAAUAAAAACUUAAUUUAGCUAUAGCUUAUAAUUUGAGAGAAGCAAGAGGACUCAUUUCUAUAGUUGGUUUCUCGACACAUAUAUACGCACUGGAAACUGUAAAUUUAAAAUUAAUAUAGGGUUGUUUAGUAUUUAUAAAAAGAUUACCUGGAAAUAAGAUAUUCUUUUCAGCUUUAAAAUCAUUAAUGAAAAAACAUAUCUUAUUAGAACAAAAUAAAAUUAGUUUAUGUGAAUUAAAAAAUAAACACUUAUAUGUUGAUAAAAUCCUAAAAAGAGUGUUUAAUAAAGGUACAUUUAUAAAAUAUGAUUUAGAAAGACCAUUUCGUUUUCAUUUUUCUAUGGACUGGCAAUGCUAUAUAUGUAAAGCAGGCAUCCAUUUCGUUGUCUCAAAUAGUUCAUGCUCAUCUGGAAAUCUCUAUUUUCAUGUUUGUCGGUAUCAAAGGGUCAAUAAAUACGUGGAGAAAAGGUUAUGGGAACAAAUGCUGAGGGGCCUCUGGGUUUUGGCAGCUUGUUUUGAAUUAAUGUCUCCUUCUAUCCGCUUCCAAGUAAAAAUAUUGAUGACAUUCCAACCACAUGGAGCAUAAGUUUCGAUUACUGUAAUGGAUAGAAAUGGAAUCUCGUGAGCGGCCUAUGGAUGGUGAGAAGAGAGCUGGAGGGAUAAUGUUAUGUUUAUAUUUACUUGUUGAGAGUGAAUAUGGUUGAAGAUAUUAUUUUCAUGGGUGCCCACGUACGAUAAAGAGAGAAAACUCGUCGUCGAUGAUAUCUUAGGCUUUAUUCAUACAAUAAUAAUAAUAAUAAUAAAAGAUAUCUUAGUUCUUUUCAGUUGAUAUAAGCUGAAAACAUGCAGGUUUAUUACUUGAUAUUUGAAGAAACGUCCAGUCGUAAUUCAGGUUUUUUUAUUUGAUAUUUUAAACUGAUUUGGGGAUCAUUUUUUAGUACAAAACUUAGUUUUCCAUAUACAAUGAGCUUUGGCAGAGUCUUUUGAUCUUUGGGCUCCCUAGCAACCAUUUGUAAAACGUGAGUGCGCACUUGUGAUGGGAAACGGAUAAGGAGUCAAUUUCGAGGAGUUGCUGUCGCAAUGCAUGACUAGACGUCCCAUGAUCAUAUCCUAGAUUUACUCUCUCUUUUUUUCGUUUCUUCUUUUCGCGGUUCUAAAAUGCUUCGGAGUCUUUGUCAGGGAUUAUUGCCUGAAUGAUCUCCGACAAUAUAUAUCCCUAAUUUCCUGACAGACAAAUUCAAGGGUGGCCGACAAAAAAAAAUAUAGCGAUUCCUGGGAUUUUUUUUAAAAAAUAUUAGCUUAGUGAAUUAAAUUUUUUUGGUAGGAUAUAACAGUUUGAAAAAGAAAUUAUGAAAUAAUAUAGUUUGAGUUUGUUGUGAUUCAUAAUUAUAUUACCUUAAAUUUAACUUGAAUCUUUCGUUUUUUCCCUUCACAGCCAACACCUUUCUUCUCUUAGAAAAACCACCAAAAACUUCUCUAAUUCACCUUAAAAUUAUUGAGUUUUCUAAAAUAUAAAUACGCGUCAAAAAAUAUAAACAUAAAGAUGUUUAUGUUAAAAGAAAUAAAUUUAAACAUAUUCCAACAAAUAAACUAAGAAAGAGUAUACUAAAAUUAAAGUUAGUUGAUUUGCUAAUGCUAAUUAAAUGCAAAAAUCAAAACUAAUCUUUUACAAGCAAGUAUGCAAAUAUUUAAACAGCAGAUGUUUAAUUCUGCGUAGUGAAAUAAAAACUUGUUACCGAUACUUUUAUCUAUCGAACAUGUCAGUGUAUUUUAAUACCAAUUAACACAAUGUGUAUAGCAUUGUUAUAAUUUCUUAAUUCCUGAAGUUUUAUAUCCUUUAACUAUAGAAAAACAAAUUGAGAUUCUUAAGCCUUAAGGUUAGAAUCCUUAACUAUAAAGAAAACUUUAAAAAUCUUGGAAGGUUUUUGAAAAGUCUUUAUUUCAUCAAUUCAUUUCUAAAAAAAUAGCCUACAAGAUUGUUUAAAUACAAGAAAAAUAUUCUAAUUAAUACAAUUCUAAUUAAAUUGAAUGUUCUAAUCUAAAUAGAAAAAAAAACAAUAAAAAGAAUAAAUAAAAUUAUGAAACAAUAGCUUCUAGGUCUAAUUUGAGCAUAAAAACAAAAAUAACUAGCAAGUUAGCUGCUAUAUCAAAAUAAUGUAAGUUUUAUUGGACUAAGUGUUGAACUCUUUUAAAACUCAUCAAAACCUAAAAAAAACCUUGACAAUCAAGAAAGCAAUACCAUAAAAAAUAAUAAUAUAGAAAAUAAUGAAAAUAUAGUGACCCAUGUCACAAAAAAUAGCUCUUCUACCUUGAAAACCCUUCUUUCCUUUUGUCAAGUGAUUAGCUCCAAUUUAUCAAGAUUAAUUAAUUAAAUGAGUCUUCAAAGAAAACUCCAUAUGAGUAAGGAAAAAUAUUCAUUAUCUCUUAGACCCAUAAAAUAUGAAAAACUAGAUAAAUUAGAUAUUACAAAACAAAAAAUUAGAUAAAAAAUACUCGGCCUUUUGUCCUUGAUAAUCUUUAUAAAGAAAGAGCACUAUAAGCACAUAUUCUCUCAUGUAAACACACACACACACACACACACACAAAUUGCUUUCGGAAUGAUGCACUUUAUAUAUAGAGAGAUAUAUAUAUAUAUAUAUAUAUAUAUAUAUAUAUAUAUAUAUAUAUAUAGAGAGAGAGAGAGAGAGAGAGAGAGAGAGAGAGAGAUGUUGCUUAGAAGUGAUUUUCACUAGAAUCCCACAUAAUUUUUCUUGAGCAUAGAGAUUCGCACAUCUAAUUUUUCACUAGCUUAUAAGAGGAUGCACGAUGUUGGCUUAUCCAAACCCCAAAGAGUGAUGCGAGGCUAUCUAUAAAUUGUUAAUUUCGAAGACAGGCUAGGUGUUCUCUAAUUUAGUAAAGACCAGCUCUAGCUCUUAAUUCCAGAAACAUAGAUUUGGGAUUAUUAAAAAACAACAUAAAAAAAAAUGCCACUUCUAAAGAUGACAACUAAUGAAAAAACUAAAAAAUGUCUAAAACCCUGUUUUGUUAAUAUUUCUUUCUUCAAUGAAUUAAUAGAUUGUUUCAACUUCAAUCUUAUAUGUGACAUAUUUUUUCUUUCAAAAACAAUUUCAUAUAUAACACAAUAAUCUUACAUGACCAACAUUAUUGACUUUUACUCAUAUUUAUUAAAUAAAUGGCCAAAUUGAUAUAUGUGCACCAUAAAUAUCUCUAAAAAAUGAUUUUAUUUUAUAUGGUUUGAGGUCCCUUCAACUUUUGCUACACAAGUCUUUAUUAGCUUAUUUUCAAACUAAAACGAAAAGAUAUUGAUUUUAUUAGAUGAUUUUCUUUGACCUUAUUUAAUUUACUUCUUUAAUAUAUAAAAAAUAGCAAAAUUACAUCUCUCUCUCUCUUUUAAAAAAGUUGUUAUCCUAUGUGAUUUUAUGUACGCUUUAUGUGUUUUUUUUCCAAAGAUUAGACUAAUGAUCAUAAAAGUUUAAUCUAUAUGCAUGAAAUUUAUAUAAUCAAGGUAAACUUGCAAUUAAAAUAAAAUGCUAGCAUGCAUACUAAAUAUAUAAUGAAACUUGCAUAAGAUAUUAAAAUAAAAUCCUAGUAUGCAUAGUAAAUAUAUAUUGAAUUUUGUAUUUAAACAAAAUAUAUAUAUAUACACUUGUUGAAGCAAUUAGAAAUUGAUUAAGCUAAAUAUUUUGUUAUCAAUAAUCAAUUAUUUGUUCUCGAGGAUGUAUUUCUCAUUUCUUAGUGCAAAUGGACUAAUCUCAAUAAGUUUUUUAGGAUUUCAAUAAAUCUUGUUUAGUUUCAUUUCUUAACAAAAUCCAUGAACUUAAAGAAAUUUUACUGAAAUAUCUCUUUAUAAAGACAAAACUUAAGUUUUAAAAUUAGGUGGAAAAUUAAAACAAAUUUGAGCUUAAAACAAAAGACAAUAAGAUGGAAAAAAAAGGUGAAAAAGAGUCUACAAAAUCUAUAAAAAGUUUGUCCAUAAAUACUCUUUUUUUAUUUUCUUUUUAUAGAAGACUUUGGAACCAAAAUUGAUAAAGAAUUAGUUUUGUUAAUUACCAGAAUUAAUUUUCAUCAUUAUCAGACUUAAUCACUUGCCAUAAACUAGAAUUAAACCUGAAUUGUUUUUGCUUUAAAAUAAAUAUUUGGUUUGAAUAAAAAUUAUUUAGGAGGAAGAAACUGUUUAGUUCAAAGAAAUUGUUCAUAGGCUAGAAAAACGAAUGGGUUGGCAAAAAAUAAUUGUUUAUAAGCCAAAUAAAUACAAACUCAAACCUAAGCAAAAAAUAGAUUGGCAAAAAAUAAUUCUUUGAAGUAAAAAAAAGAUUCUACAUAAACCCAAACGUAAGCCUAGCCUGAGGCUCGAGUGCAAGCCGAUUCGAGAGAGCAUGCUUGUGUGACUUAAGCUCAAAACCCACUUUGCUUAGCUCCUCUUUUCUAAAGCUCCUAUUUUCUAAAAGAUUUUAUGCCAUUUAGAACUAAUUUUAACUCUUCAUCUUCCUACUAUAUAAAUUACAAGAAAAUCUUGCUUCUUUUCUAUGUUUGAUAAAGGGUUUUAGGUUCCCCAAAACAUGCAAAUAAAAGGGCUCUUUGAGAUUAAUUUUUAGUCACCCACUAUUUAUUUUAAUAAUGUUUAUAUAAUAUGUUAAAGAGCUUUUGUUGGAUAAUAAACUUCAAUAAAGUCUUAACUCUAAAAGUUAGUAGACUUCGUUUUUAAUUUGGCCUCAAAUGUGCCAAUUAACCAUGGUUUCAAAAAUAUUUUUCAACAAUUCUCCACAUGAAUAGAAAUUAUCCGACAAAUAUAAAAGAAUCAAAGAUUCAUAAGAGAUACUAAUUUUUGGGAUCAUUAGAUAUGAUAGGUAGAUUUUGGCUAUGAAUCUUUCUUAGUAAACUACUAUCUAAUAUAGUUGUUUAAAUAGUGAACACAAUGUCUUGAAUUAUUCAACUUUUAUAUAAAUCAAGACAAUAAUAUUCACAUAGUUCUCUACCUAGUACAUUGGGAAUUGAUAAAUUGUUCAUGUUCAAGUGUUCACCAUCCACUUAUUUGUAAGUAAAAAACAUUAUAUUCUUGGUGCAUAAAUGUUUUGUUACACAAAUAUAAACCCAUCACCACUUGAAAUUGUUGAUUUGGUUGACAUCGAAAGCAAAAAAAAAAAAAAAUCAUUUUCAAAACUUCAUUAGUGAGGUGAUCAACAUCGAUGAUAUUGGCUUGGGGAGUCCUUCCCUUUUUUAGGGUUUCCUUGUUGAGCUUUAUUUUUGCAAUCCUUAGCCAAAUAUCCAGUCUUGUUGUAGAUGAAGCAUUUACCAUUGAACUUCUUGGCAAUUUAUUUUCUCUUUACAACAAGAUUUUUCUUUUGAUUUUUUUUUGGGACUUUACCACUUGUUCUACAAUGUUUGCUUUAGGGGUCAUACCAUAAGAGUUGACUUAUCUUUUGGGCCACAUAUUUUCCUCUUCUAUCCUUAACAUCAAGAUAAAGUCUUCAACUCUUAUUUUCUUGAGCUUGUACUUAAUGUUAUUCUUGAAGUCUUUCUAAUAUUUGACAACUUUUUAAUAAUUACAACUACUUGGAAAGACUCAUUUACAACCAUACCUUCAAAAGGAAUAUCAUGGAAGAUGAUUUGAAACUUUUGAACUUUGUUUAUAAUGGUCAUUUAAUAAACUAUCUUAAAAUUCAAAAGAUUUUUUGACUAUGAAUAUUUCCAUAACAACAUCACAAACCUUAUACUUUUUAUCCAAACCUUUCCAUAAUACUUUAAAUAUACACAUUAUAUAAUGCAUUAUCCAGUCCAUUCAAUAUAUAAUUUUUGCAUACAAAAUGGUUAUGAUUCCAAGCAUCAACAUUUACCACAAUAGUAGGAUCAUAUUCAUUAUCUAAUAGCUUUGAUGUUUAUUUAGUCAAGAACUUUGCUAAAUUCAAGAUGGUCAGAUAGAACAUCAUCUUUUGCUACCACCUUUUGAACUUUUCAUAUUUCUCACCAUGCAAGACGUUGAUUGUAGAAUCCUCCUUAUUAAAAUAGUGCUUGCCAAAGCAACAUUAAUUGAGACGACCACAUCUUGAUAUAAAGUUAUGAUUAUUUUCUAUUUGGACAAUAGCAAAAAAAAAAUAUAAAUAAAAAAUUUGGCUUCUCAAAAGCAGGUAUGAAAAAAAUAAAAAAAAAAUUGUUUGACAACUAUAAAAUGCUAAACAAAUUAACAAACAAAAGAUUUAUAACUAUGCAAAAUUAUAUUAAUCACGUUUUUAAUAGUUAUAAUUCAAUAUUGUGGCCUUUUGACAUGCAUGAACUUAUACCAAACUAGAUAAAAGUUUAAUUUAUAACUUAAAUAAAUGUUUUUAACAAGCUCUUGAAAAAUAAAUUGGUUUGCAUAUAAGUAAAAGUAUAAACUAUAAGAGAAUAAAACUUUAAUAUUGUUUUUCAAAUAUUAGACUAGUGAUCAUAAAAGUUUAGUUUAUAUGCAUGCAAUUUUUUCAAGGUAAACUUGAGAUUAAAAUAAAAUUCUACCAUGAAUUCUAAAUAUUUAUUGAAACUUGUAUAAGAGAUUGAAACAAAAUUGUAGCGUCAGGACCAUGAAUAUAUUGAAUUUUAUACUUCAACAAAAAAAAAAAACAAUGUAGGCACUUCCUGAAACUAUUAGAAAUUAAUUAAGUUGAGUAUUUUGUUGUCGAGAAUCAAUCAUUUAUUUCAAGGUUUUAUUUCUCCUCUCUUGGUGUAAAUGAACUGACUUUAAAAAGCUUCAUAGAGUUUCAACAAUACCGUUUUAUUUAGUUGUACUUCUAAAUUAGAUCCACGAACUCAAUAAAAUUUUACUCAAAUAUCUCUUUACAAAAACUAAGCUUAAGUCUAGAGUAGGAGAAACAUUAAGAAAAAAAACUAGCUUAAAACAUAAGAGAAUAAGCUUGAAAAAACUAAGGUGAAGAAAGUUUAAAAGUCUGUCAAAAAACUAUCUAGAAACCCUAUUUCUUAAAACCCUUUUUAUAAAGGAUUUUGGAACAAAAAAUGAAAAACAUUAAUUUCAGUAAUUACCAUAAUCAAUUCCUUUCGUUAUCAGCCUUAAUUACACGUUAUAAACUAGAAUUAAAUAUGAAAAUUUUGGCUUUAAAUCUAACAUUUUAUUUGAAUAAAAAUUGCUUAUGUUGAAGAAAUUGUUCAGAAUUUUUAUUCAUGAAUUAGAAAAACUAAUGGCUGAAAAAAACAAAAUCUUUAUAAGCCAUAAAAUUAUAAACCCAAACUCAGUCCAAAAAAUAAACUUGCAAAAUAUAAUUAUUUAUGAUUCAAAAAAUUAUUUUACAGUAUAUACAAACCCAAGUCAAGUCUAGCUCUGGCCUUAGCGCACACUUGUAGUUUAAAUUCAAAGAUCACUUUACUUAAACUCUCUUUUCUCUACAAAAUUUGGUGCUCUUGGGGUUUAAUUUUAAUUUUUCAUCUUUUUACUAUAUAAACUAAAAGAAAAUCUUUUGUUUUUUUUUUUAUAUGGGAUAAAAGGUUUUAGGUUUUUCAAACAUGUCAAAUAAGAAUUUUUUAAAAACAAUUUCUUAUUCACUCAUAAUUUGUUUGAACCAUAUUAAUAUUUCAUUGUAAAGAGCUUUUAUUGAAAAAUAAAUUUCGAUAAAAUUUUAUGCUAUUUACAGCAAGCUAAGUUUUCGUUUUCGUUUUAUGCUUUUUAAUUUAAUGGAUCUGAUAAAUAACAAAAGAAUACUUUUCCAUUCACAGAAAUAUGUUAUAUGAUAAAUCCUAUUUUUGUUCAAAACUAGAGUUAUUAUGAUACUUUUGGAUCGAUUUAGAAAUUGUUCUUGACAUUUAUAAAAUGAGCUUUGGUAUAAAGGUAAAGUUUUUCAUCUACCAUAAAUAAAAUGUGAUCAAAUUAGGAAUUUGAUUUUAUUUUUUACGAUUAGUAUAAUUAUAUGAAAUGUUCCUGGCCAUCAAUUAACAAUCUAAGGGUUAGGAUUUAACUAAAAUGAAAUAUUAUGUUAGCAUUUACUUGAGGGGAAUUUAAUCCUAUUUAAUAUUGGAUUUAAGAUAGACAUAUAUAUAUAUAUAUAUUUAAGAUAGACAUAUAUAUAUAUAUAUAUAGUAAUAAAUAAAGUAAUAAAUAAUCCAUUAGUUUCAAAUGAUUAUUUAAAAAAAAAUUAUAAAGUACAUAUUAUAAAAGCACUAUUUUUUUUUAAAAAAAAAAACUUAUUGUAUUGGCAAUUAUGAGAAUAUUAACUAGUUGUAGCAAUUUUUUUUUUUAAAUCCGGAUUAAUUUACAUGUAUCUUAAUUAAUUUUAUAAAUUUUAAAAUUAUAUGUAUAAAUCUUCAGUAAUCGAGAACAUUAACUAGUUGCAGAAACUUCCAUUUAAAAUUUGACUUGGAUGAAUUUAUCUCUCUUUUUUUCCUCUUUACCAACCCUUCCUCGCUAUUGGUUUUCACCAGCGGCAAACCCUUUUUUCCCUCACCUUCUUCUUCUCUCUCUCUUUGACAACCCUUGAUCAAAUACUUUUUUAUUAGAUAUGAUGGUCUUUUAGUCUAAGAUAAAUUAAAUACUUUCAAAUAUAAAUCAUAAUAAAAAUUAAUAAAAUAUAUACUUCUUGUCUUAAUUUAUUAAUUGUUCAGUAAAUUAUCAAAAAGAAAACGUCUUCUAGUCUAUGUUAAUAUUUUUAAAUUAGGCUAGAGACCCUCUUCUUAAUUUUAAUUUUGCAUUAUCAUUCAUCUUAAAUAUACUUAUAUAUUCUAAAACUAUAAUUUAUCACUUAUAGAUUUUAUUUAAAAAUAAUAUAUAAUGCUAAAUAGUAUUAAUUUAGAACAUGGCAUGGCUUAUAUGAGGCAAUUUAAAGGAUAUUUCUUACUUUUAGCUUAAAUAAUGAUAGAUCUAUUUUUUUUUAUUAACGUAGAUAUCCAGGUUAGUUUGUGCGUACUUCAACUAAUUUCAUGGGUCCUGAAAUUAACAAUCAUGUACGUCUCCAGUAGCCAUAAAUUUUGUAAGACUCGAAUUGAUGAUUUUUAAAAUACAAACAUAGAACCUAACUAGUUGAACUACACCCCUCAUGAUUUGAAUCUAAUUUUUUUUUUUGUUUAAGUGUUGUGCUGUCUUUUUUUAUUUUGUUUUUUAUGUUUUUUUUUAAAUUUUAUUUCGAGAAAUUAUGGAAAAUGUGUGUAUGACUGUUCAUAUCCAAAUACUUCGUAGAUGUACCAACGAUGCAAAAUUAUUUUGGGCCCAGUCACGGUUUUGUUUUUUUCUUAAUUAAUUGUGAUGACAAGUUAUUUUUGAGCUCUCAGGAUAUGAAAAAAUCUCCAAAAGGUUAAAGCUCAAAAAGAAACUAUUUUUUACUGCAGUUUUCAAAAAAAAUUUCUUUCGACCACGGCCCUUUUUUCUCUUUUAUUAUAAGCCAAACAAGCAAGAGAAAAUAAAACUUCAAACUUGUAUAAAUUUAUAAUUAUUUUAUACUAAAUCUUUAAUUUAAUUAAAGAAUAAGAUUUUAAUGUCAUAUUAAAUUUAAUAAUUGAAUUUGUGUUUCAUAAACAAAAUUAAGUUUUGGUGAGCAGUUUUUAAAUUUUUUAUUGUUUUUUAUUUUUAUUAAAUAUGAAAAAUGUUCAUUAACACUACUCAUUCUUACUUUCAAUCCGUUUGUGAUAUUGUAAACUAAUUUGGGUUCUAGGAUCUUUUAAUAAAUUCUUUUCUACUCGAACUAAUUUAACUAAAAAAUUGCAUUAAUCUUCUUGAAAUUAACAUCUUGAAAUUUAGCAACUUUUUUUCAAAAAAAUUUUAAUAGAGUACAACAACAUAUACUAAUAAUUUAUCAAAAAAAAAAAAUUUAAUUUAUCAACUCCAAAGAAUAAAGCUUAAUUGGUCAGAUUUUAGUUUUGCUCCGUAGAAGUCACCAGUUCAAGUCCUACAAAUCUCAGGGCUACUGGAGAUUUAUAUGAUCAUUAACUUUAGAAUUCGUGAGAUUAAUCAAGAUACAAGCAAGCUCGUCCAGAUAUCCACAUUAAUAAUAUUAAAAAAUUAUAUAUAUAAAAAAGGCUACGAGAGAGGCAUCGAGAUAUUAAACGUCAAUUAUAACAAUACAGGGCCUUUAUGUAAUUGCGUUAAAAAAGAAGCUAUGGUCGAUUUCUAUAUAAAGGCACAUGAGGAGCACCCAAAUACCAUCAUUCCACAAAGCAGUUGCAUUUAUCUAAAGUAUUGUCACUUUACUUAACACUUGAGCUGCAUAGAAUGUCUACAGUCAAUUUGGCAGCACUGCUGUUGCUUGGGCUGCUGCUGGUUAUGCCACAGCAGUCCAUGCAAGCGAGUUUGAUAGACCCCAUUGCUGAAAUCGAGAGAAGCAACUGCAAAAUCGCACACCUUCGCUUAGGGCUUGUUUUUACCUCUGAUGUCAACGAAAGGGCUCUGCAAGACUCUGGACUCUAUAGCCCUGACAGUGAAGACUCUUCUGUUGACAUUGCGGGCAGAAGGUUCCAUAGCGGGACACUAAACGGUUCUUCUAUUGUAUAUGUCAAGACAGGGAGUCCUUCAGUAAGACUAACUCUACCUUUGUUUAUUUUUAACGAAAGAAACUUGCAUCUUUCGUGUUUUAAAUAUUUUUUUAUGACAGGUAAAUAUGGCAACAACUUUGCAAAUCCUUUUAGCUAGAUUCAGCAUUCACGGAGUCAUCUAUUUUGGGAAUGCUGGAAGCUUGGAUAAGAAAACAAUGGUUCCAGGUGAUGUUUCUGUGCCGCAGGCUGUUGCCUUCACAGGAGUUUGGAACUGGAAGGUGCGUAGGGCCUUUGCUAUUAUUUAUGGUUUUCAUUUUCUAUUUUUGUUUUAAAAGUUGAUUUUUUUAAUUUUUUUUAAAGACGUACAUCAUAUCUGACAUAGUGACAGUGAUGUAGUAUAAUAUAUAGCUAAUAAGAAAUAACAAUGAUAGAUUAUAAUCUUGACAAAUAACAAGAAUAAUCUAUAAAAAUAAAAAAAGUUAUUACAUUGUAUAUCCGCAGUGGUGCUGGGACUAAUUACUACUACGUAAUCAACUCUAUAUCAUGCAGAAAUUCGGAUCGGAGAAAGGUAAACUGGUAUUUGGAGAUUUCAAUUAUCCAGAGAAUGGAGAGAACUUGUUGGGGACUGUAGAGUAUGAGAAAAUUAACAUGUUCUCUCCAAGUGAAGCACCCAAGGAAGUUUUCUGGCUUCCCAUCACCACAUCCUGGUAUGAUGCUGCCACUAAAGCGCUCAAGGUUUGUCAAUCUCAGAAUAUUCAGCUGAAUUAGCUGCAUGUUUCUUCUUCAUUACCAUUAAAACUAUCGCUAAGCCUAUAAUGAUUUUAUUGAGACCAUGAAUAUUGAGGGAUAUAUGUAUCUUUGAAUUUUCAAGUGGAUUAACUACAAUAAUAAUUGAUUAUUCAUUGCAGGAUAUGAAGUUAAGAAAAUGCUAUUCAGAUAAAUGCCUGCCCGGAAAACCCAAAGUUGUCUUUGGAUCGAAGAGUUCUACUUCUGAUUUUUACGUUCGAAAUAAAGCAUACGGAGACUUCCUUAACGAUAAUUUUGAUGCAAAAAUUGCCGAUACAGCAAGUGCUUCUGUAGCUUUGGUUAGUAAAAAAACCUUCUAUGAGCUCAAAAGUUUGUGUUUCUUCUUCUUGAGAUGCCUUUUAGCUAGGAAGCUACGCAUGAUUAAUUUGGUUAACGAAUUUGUUUGUGUCCCAAUUUGCAGACAUCUCUGUCAAAUGAAAAGCUCUUCGUGGUGUUCCAAGGUGUUUCAAAUGUAGCUGGUGAAACAAGUUCAGACUCUGGAGUUAGCUAUUUAGCCUCCUACAACGCCUUCCUUGCUGCCACCAAGUUCAUUAAUUCAAUUCCGACGCCACGACUUGCUUGUGAGUGAUGAGAUGAUAUGAAUGUCCUCGAUCGUGAGUCUUGUGAGUCUUUUGAGUUGUAUGAUAAAAAAGGAUGCCCUACUGUACUAAAAUAAAUUAUGUCAUAAAUGGCCUCCUAAUUUAAAUAAACUGGGUGUAUAUCAUCCACAUGUACGUUCCUUUUUUGAUGAAAUAUAUGGGCGUACUUAUGCUUGCGG